AGUUGCUGCCAGGCACUCGAAAGCGAGCACCUUGUCUCAGAGAUCUGGAGCCCCAUGCUCGCAGAGCCGUCACCAUGCCUCUGGCUAGAGAUCUAUUACUUCCUUCCUUGGAAGAGGAAAAGAAAAAACAUAAGAAGAAACAACGGGUGAUUCAGAGCCCAAAUUCUUACUUCAUGGGUGUGAAAUGUCCAGGUUGCUACAAGAUUACUACAGUUUCCAGCCAUGCUCAGACAGUGGUCCUUUGUGUGGGCUGCUCAACUGUUUUGUGCCAGCUCCCAGGAGGAAAAGCCAGGUUCACAGAAGGCGGUUCAUUUAGAAGAAACCAGCACAAAACAUCUAUACAAGUUCCUGAAUUUGUGUUUUUAACAGAAAACCUUAUCAACUUCAGUUACUCUACCAAGGCAAUGCAUUAUUCUUUGAUUUUAUAAAGUACAACAAUGA
rnacentral:lncRNA from 1 species